GACGAACGCUGGCGGCGUGCUUAACACAUGCAAGUCGAACGGAAAGGCCCUGCUUUUGUGGGGUGCUCGAGUGGCGAACGGGUGAGUAACACGUGAGUAACCUGCCCUUGACUUUGGGAUAACUUCAGGAAACUGGGGCUAAUACCGGAUAGGAGCUCCUGCUGCAUGGUGGGGGUUGGAAAGUUUCGGCGGUUGGGGAUGGACUCGCGGCUUAUCAGCUUGUUGGUGGGGUAGUGGCUUACCAAGGCUGUGACGGGUAGCCGGCCCGAGAGGGUGACCGGCCACAUUGGUCCUGCGAUACGGCCCAGACUCCUACGUGAGGCAGCAGUGGGGAAUAUUGCACAAUGGGCGGAAGCCUGAUGCAGCAACGCCGCGUGCGGGAUGACGGCCUUCGGGUUGUAAACCGCUUUCGCCUGUGACGAAGCGUGAGUGACGGUAAUGGGUAAAGAAGCACCGGCUAACUACGUG
rnacentral:rRNA from 1 species